GCUCCCUUAGCUCAGUAGGAUAGAGCGGACCCCUCCUAAGGGUCAGGCCGUUGGUUCGAUUCCAGCAGGGAGCGCCA
rnacentral:tRNA from 1 species